rnacentral:rRNA from 1 species
GUCGAUGGGAAACGGGUUAAUAUUCCCGUACUUGGUGUUACUGCGAAGGGGGGACGGAGAAGGCUAUGUUGGCCGGGCGACGGUUGUCCCGGUUUAAGCGUGUAGGUGUGUGUUCCAGGUAAAUCCGGUUCACUUUAACACUGAGGCGUGACGACGAGGCACUACGGUGCUGAAGCAACAAAUGCCCUGCUUCCAGGAAAAGCCUCUAAGCAUCAGGUAACAUCAAAUCGUACCCCAAACCGACACAGGUGGUCAGGU